UUACCCCUUGUACCCUUUACUCUAUUCCUAGUUUAAAAUAGAAAGGAUAAUUUGAAAAAGGAAGCUGAACAGUUCCGGAGCGCCCCCAGAAGACGUGAAUGAAACAUCGCCAUGCGUGGCUGUCUUCGAAUAUUACCAUGUGCGAGAGAAGUGCUGUUUUUGUGAUAAAGGUCCAUGGCAGUGUUUUCAAGAGUUCAUUCUAUGAAGUGGUUAAUUCAAGGCAGAGGUGAGAAAUCAUAGUCUCUUCAGUGUCUUUCGACUAGAGCUCCCACAGCAAGCCUAACUGCAGACGAGCGGAGCUCUAUUUCAGUAUUUGGAGGGGGAAAGCUGUUCUA